CAAAGAGUGUCGUUUCUCUUCAACGGACUGACUGCCGACUUGAUGUUUGCGAAUGCACUUAGAGAACGUUCGCCCGUUCGAGCCCGCGAUUCCACGACGUUUGUGGAAAGAAUUAUAUAAAGAUCCGCUAUAUUCUUCAACCGGACUUCCACCGUAGGCAUCAAACUACUCUCGUGGAUUUAUACUACACACGCUGUGACAGCUGAGCCAGGGAAAAUAGGAAGAAAAAGAAGAAAAAGGAAAAAAAAAAAAGAGGCAACAAAGGCCCUCCCCGAACAUCUCCGUCUCUCGCUCUCGAUAUCUCUCGACGUCCUUCUUACCACAAAUCCGACGACGUUACCUACAAAGAGCAGAAGGAGGAUGAGGAAGGAGGAGAAGGAGGAGGAGGAGGAGGAGGAGGAGGAGGAGAAUUUUUGAAGGCAGCCGGUCGGUCUCAACUCGUCGUAUUCGUGCGGUGAAAGAGAUCUCGGACGCUGGUGGAAUCGACGGCAAGAAACUGCAAUUUUCUAAAGUACGGCCUUAGCUACGGGGUCCGUCUUUAUCCCGGGGUCAAAUUCGCACCGACCACCCCCUUCACCUUCGAUUCUUCCACCAAGGGAAGAAGGAACCGGCCACGAACCGGCCACCAACCGGCCACGAACCGUUCCGCUAUAGGCAUCCGCUACCUCCGGUAAACUCUAAUUAGAUUUUAAGUGAGAAAUUGAGCCCGCCGGCAAUUUUAAGGAAGCCGAAUGCACCGGCCCGAUUAAUAUCAUUAUAUUCGUUGCUCGAUCGUUACCUGGAGAGAGGGGGCGGGGGGCUGGGGAAUCUCUUCGUUCGAAAGAUAGUACGGGGUUCAAGAUUUCUUUCCUUUUUUUUUCUCUCUUUUCUUUUUUUUCUCUUUCUCUUCUUCUCGAUCAAAGAUCGCGUUAAUCAAAGUCUAAGAUCGUACGAAAAAAAUCCCCUCCGUAAAGAAUUUCAAACUCCGCGGGGUGUAUUCGAACGACAAAUAGUUCUUUCGAUUAUAAUUGUCACAUUUUAAAUAAUCAUUAUUAUUAAUUAAUAUCAUUUAGUUCUCCUUUUCUUGUUUUUUUUUUUUUUUUUUUUUUUUUUUCUUUUUUUAUUUACGCACAUUUCUAUUGUGUGCGCGCGCGCGUUUUUUCUUUCUCCUUCUUUUUCUUCCUCUACUUUUUUUUAACCGCUCAAUUUAUUCCACCGAUAAAGAUUAUAUAUAUUUUCUCUCUCUUUCUCUCUCUCUCUCUCUCUCUCUCUCUCUCUCUCUCUAUCUUUCUCUGGAAGCUUUAACGACCAUUUAAUAUCGUGCUAAUGACGGUUCUCUUGGAUAGUAGAUAAUGAUUUCGAUCGUCUCGCUUGCUCCAACGAGAGAAAUAUCAUCGACGUUUUAUAAUCCAAACGGAGACUCGCCGCCUCUAUAGCUCGGUUCUCGAAUCGAUUAUAUCGAAAGAUCCAGCGCGGAUUUAUUUAUGUAAAAAUAUUCCGCGCUUACCCAUAAUGGUAAUAUCAAUGCGGACAUUUAAAUCAAUUAUUUUAUAAGAUUAUCAUUUCCAUCAUAACGGAACAAAAUCGGCUAUCAAUAUAAUACGUUUAAAUGGCGCCUAGACGUUUAACGCCGAUAUUUAAUCUUUAAAAUCUCGGACACGCGUUGUAAAUAUUGUAUAGAAAAAAAAAAGAAAAAAGAAAAAAGAAAAAAGAAAAAAAAAGGAAAUAAAAAAAUAAAAAAACCCAAAGAAGGAAAAAGAAAAGAAAAAAAGGAUCAGCAAACCUCGGGAAAAAGUUUCGAGUUUAUCUGUGGAGUAAACGAAUUGUUGAAGGGGAAGGAAGGGGAAUUAAUAAGGGCGAAGUGGGGGCAGGUAAAUCGAACCGGCAUAGAUCCGGAUGGACUAAGGGUGUCGAAGGGAAGAGAAGAGCAACUUACCCUUCAACCGUGACGCGAUCAUCCUGCCAUUCAUCAGUAGUAGCUGACUUUUACAAACGUCGUGACGCGGCGUAGCUAAUGGUACCUUUUAAAUGCCGGACAACGGGCGAUAAUUCUAACGUUUCACUUCUGAAGUUCUCUCCCUAUCUCUCAUACGAAUCCUCGGAAUCUCUUAUGGUCGUUACGCGUCACCUGUCGUCGCAUUCGUAGAACGGACACGCGACGUUUACGUGAAAGAAUGAUCUACGGUCUCUCUCUCUCUCUCUCUCUCUCUCUCUCUCUUUGUCUUUUCAAUUGGAAAAAAAAA